UGGGGAAUAUUGCACAAUGGGCGCAAGCCUGAUGCAGCGACGCCGCGUGGGGGAUGACGGCCUUCGGGUUGUAAACUCCUUUCGCUAGGGACGAAGCUUUUUGUGACGGUACCUAGAUAAGAAGCACCGGCUAACUACGUGCCAGCAGCCGCGGUAAUACGUAGGGUGCGAGCGUUGUCCGGAAUUACCGGGCGUAAAGGGCUCGUAGGUGGUUUGUCGCGUCGUCUGUGAAAUUCCGGGGCUUAACUCCGGGCGGGCAGGCGAUACGGGAGUAACUUGAGGACUGUAGGUGUAACUGGAAUUCCUGAUGUAGCGGUGAAAUGCGCAGAUCUCAGGAGGAACACCGAUGGCGAAGGAAGGUUACUGGGCAGUUACUGACGCUGAGGAGCGAAAGAAUGGGUAGCGAACAGG
rnacentral:rRNA from 1 species